UGAGGAACAUGACUUUUCGGCGGGGGAUAGCCGGCCCAACGGCCGGGUAAUACCGCGUACGACCUUUUGGGGACAUCCCCGAUUGGUGAAAGCAGCAAUGCGCCGAAAGAGUGCCUCGCGGCCUAUCAGCUAGUUGGUGGGGUAAUGGCUCACCAAGGCGACGACGGGUAGCUGGUCUGAGAGGAUGGCCAGCCACACUGGGACUGAGACACGGCCCAGACCUCCGUACGGGGAGGCAG
rnacentral:rRNA from 1 species